AGAGUUUGAUCCUGGCUCAGGAUCAACGCUGGCGGCGUGCCUAAUGCAUGCAAGUCGAGCGGGGUGCUCUUCGGAGCACUUACGCGGCGGACGGGUGCGGAACACGUGGGCAACCUGCCCCGAGGUGGGGGAUAGCCGGUGGAAACACCGGGUAAUUCCGCAUACGGUCACUGGCUGGAGGGCUGGUGAGGAAAGGGUCUUCGGACUCGCCUUGGGAGGGGCCUGCGGCCGAUUAGCUAGACGGUGGGGUAACGGCCUACCGUGGCGAUGAUCGGUAGCUGGUCUGAGAGGACGGCCAGCCACACGGGGACUGAGACACGGCCCCGACUCCUACGGGAGGCAGCAGCAAGGAAUCUUCCGCAAUGGGCGAAAGCCUGACGGAGCAACGCCGCGUGUGGGAUGACGCCUUUCGGGGUGUAAACCACUUUUCUCAGGGAAGAAGCACUGACGGUACCUGAGGAAUAAGGACCGGCUAACUACGUGCCAGCAGCCGCGGUAAUACGUAGGGUCCGAGCGUUGUCCGGAGUUACUGGGCGUAAAGCGCGCGCAGGCGGCGGUAUAAGCAUGGCGUGAAAGCCCCAGGCUCAACCUGGGAGGGUCGUCGUGGACUGUACCGCUUGAGGGCGGUAGGGGCUGGUGGAAUGCCUGGUGUAGUGGUGAAAUGCGUAGAGAUCAGGCGGAACACCCGUGGCGAAGGCGGCCAGCUGGGCCGUCCCUGACGCUGAGGCGCGAAGGCGUGGGGAGCGAACGGGAUUAGAUACCCCCGUAGUCC
rnacentral:rRNA from 1 species